CCUACGGGGGGCUGCAGUGAGGAAUAUUGGUCAAUGGACGAGAGUCUGAACCAGCCAAGUAGCGUGAAGGAUGACUGCCCUAUGGGUUGUAAACUUCUUUUAUAUGGGAAUAAAAUGUUCCACGUGUGGGAUUUUGUAUGUACCAUAUGAAUAAGGAUCGGCUAACUCCGUGCCAGCAGCCGCGGUAAUACGGAGGAUCCGAGCGUUAUCCGGAUUUAUUGGGUUUAAAGGGAGCGUAGGUGGAUUGUUAAGUCAGUUGUGAAAGUUUGCGGCUCAACCGUAAAAUUGCAGUUGAAACUGGCAGUCUUGAGUACAGUAGAGGUGUGCGGAAUUCGUGGUGUAGCGGUGAAAUGCUUAGAUAUCACGAAGAACUCCGAUUGCGAAGGCAGUUCACUGGACUGCAACUGACACUGAGGCUCGAAAGUGUGGGUAUCAAACAGGAUUAGAUACCCUAGUAGUC
rnacentral:rRNA from 1 species